rnacentral:rRNA from 1 species
GGAGUUUGGUCCGUGUCUCAGUACCAAUGUGGGGGACCUUCCUCUCAGAACCCCUACUGAUCGUCGCCUUGGUGGGCCGUUACCCCGCCAACUGGCUAAUCAGACGCAUCCCCAUCCCAUAGCGAUGAAUCUUUCGUCCAGGUCAGAUGUCCUCUCUGGACAGCAUAGGGAAUUAAUCCGACUUUCGCCGGGCUGUGCCCUACUAUGGGGAAGGUUGGAUACGCGUUACUCACCCGUGCGCCGGUCGCCAUCAAAGGAAGCAAGCUCCCUUCAUGCUGCCCCACGACUUGCAUGUGUUAAGCCUGUAGCUAGCGUUCAUC